UACAGAGGGUGCGAGCGUUAAUCGGAAUUACUGGGCGUAAAGCGUGCGUAGACGGUAGCGUAAGUCAGAUGUGAAAGCCCCGGGCUCAACCUGGGAAUUGCAUUUGAGACUGCUCUGCUCGGGUGCGGAAGAGGGAAGCGGAAUUUCCGGUGUAGCGGUGAAAUGCGUAGAUAUCGGGAGGAACACCAGUGGCGAAGGCGGCCUUCUGGACCAGUACUGACGCUCAUGCACGAAAGCGUGGGGAGCAAACAGG
rnacentral:rRNA from 1 species